UCGUGUCGUGAGAUGUUGGGUUAAGUCCCGCAACGAGCGCAACCCUCACCCCUAGUUGCCACCGGGUAAAGCCGAGCACUCGAGGGGAACUGCCAGCGUCAAGCUGGAGGAAGGCGGGGAUGACGUCAAGUCAUCAUGCCCCUUACGUCCUGGGCUACACACGUGCUACAAUGGCCGGUACAAAGGGAUGCCACACCGCGAGGUAGAGCUAAACCCAAAAAGCCGGUCUAAGUUCAGAUUGGAGUCUGCAACUCGACUCUAUGAAGGAGGAAUCGCUAGUAAUCGC
rnacentral:rRNA from 1 species